rnacentral:tRNA from 1 species
GCCCCUGUGGCGUAAUUGGAUAGCGCACCAGACUUCUAAUCUGGGGGUUGCGAGUUCGAAUCUCGCCAGGGGUU